CAAGAAAGAAAUGAGACAGAGAAGCACGAUGGAUGAAUUCAUAUGGAUUAAAAUGUUUUUAUGUCUGAUGCUGAUGAUUCAGAUUGCAGUAUCUGCAACUGAAACCUCAAUUUUUAUUAAAGCUGGAGAUGACGUCACUCUGCCUUGUCUAAAUGUAAUAGAUGACCAGAAGAACUGUGAUGGUACUACGUGGACCUUUGCUUCAAAAAACACAACAGCAAUAGAAGUGAUCACCUUUGGAGAGAUUGGUAAAAAAGCCCAAACUAAAUCAGACAGACUGAGUGUUACAGCGAACUGUUCUCUGGUUAUAAAGAAGCUCACGGAUGAGGAUGUUGGUUUUUAUUACUGUCAGCAGUACAAACUGGGAGAACGUAAACAUCUAGUUUCUGAGUUUUUGGUUGAUCUGGCUGUCAUCACAUUUGGGACAAACAAAACAAUGAAUCCAGCCAGAAAAACUGAAAGCAGCACAACCUCAGUAACAACCACAGCCGUGAAGGAUAUUUCACAAGAUUUUUCCGUCUCUUUGAGGUUCAUUAUUGUUUCGGUGGGUUUAGCAGCACUUUUAAUAACUGCUGUGACAGUCAACAUUAGGACAAGAACCAAAGGGAAUAAAACACGACGGAUAAAGCAAGGGGAACAAAACAGAGGACGAGGAUAAAAUCAAAGUAAGUACAAAACUCAGUAUUUCAAUGUAUAAGCGCUAAAAAAAAAACCCUAAAGGUUGACAGUGGACACAUUUGAAGCUGAUUGGCAGGUGGUACAGCAAAAGAACUUGAAAUAGAAAGCUGAACUACAAAAAGGGGAAAGCAGGAAAGUCAAAAUCACUGACACAAUACAAAGAGCAACAAAAGCAUCAAGUAUAUUAGAUAGAUAUUACUGAUAUUACUGUAGUUGUUAUAAGUUAUGCAGAGCCAAUAUAAAUAUAAAAACAAAAGCUCAAUGAGAAAAGUACUUUUAGUGUGGAAUGAAGUCUCUGUAGUUUCAUCAUAGAAAGAGAGUCGAGCUGAUUCGUCUCAGACUGACUGGAGAAAACAGCAAAAAAAAAAAAAAAUCAGACUUAAGUGUUGCAUUAGACUGUUCUCUGGUUAUAUACCACAUCACAGCUGGCGAUGCUGGUCGAUACACAUGCAGACACCACACAUCACUGUUGGGCCCAUAAGCAUUUAUAGACUUUACUGUUUAUCGGUCAGUCGUCAGAAGUGAAUAUUUGUGUCAUUCAAAUCAAAAUGUCCUGUUAGAACAACAAACUAAGAUGUUACAAUAAUUAUGAUCACAGAGAUGAAGUCCAUUGUCUUCAUUUUUGUUUUUCUCUCUCAAAAUGUCUCCAUCUGUAUGACUGAAGUGACUGAAUGUGAGAACAAUGGACAAGAUGGUAAUCCUGUCCUGCUGUGUGCUGGACUAUGACCCUUGUGAACGCGCAGUCGAGUCGGUGUAUGAUGGUGAAGAGAAAUCUCAGACAUGGAGAUGGCUUCACAAUCCUGCACUGACACUGUGACAUUCACAGCAUCUCACCUUGAUCAGAAGUUAAAGUUUUAUGAUUUUUUAAAAUGUAAUGUGAUGAAACAGAACAGUAACAAACUGCAGCCGUUUCCUUUCAGCCCCUAGUUGCCAGGUGGGGCAACAGGUUUACCAAUGCUGCUGAAGAUCAUCUCAACACAGACUCACAACAUCAUCUCCUUCUGCCUUUCCUCUUUCUCUCGCUCCGCUGUUUGUGUGUGGGACAGUAUGAGAGAUUCCUCUUCUGCUCCCCUGCUCCAUUUGGCUGGCACAUAUGUCUCAAAUCCCUAAUCAGAGCCUUUAAACAUUUGAUCAUAAAUUCAGUCCUCUCCAGAUUGUUCUGUUAGGUUUGUCUUUAGCAUCACUCAGUCUCAUCAAAAAAAAAAAAAAAACAAUUGUACUUUUCUUUGUGUUUCACUUGAUUUCUCCAGUCACUAAUUUUAAAUGUCCCGGGCCGUCUCCUCCAGACCAAAUACUUAGUCUUGGUAUCCCUGCCUGCUCUCUUUCUCCAUCACUCACCAAACCCAGAUGCAAGACCCAAUCCCCUCUCGCUUGCACAUUCUCCCUCAUUCCAGUGUUAAAGCCUGCUUCAGAGUCCACCUCUUUUACCAUAAUAAUUUUCAAUAUACAAUAUUUAAAAAAUGAAAUGUAGAUGUUAUUUUUUAAGCCAUUUUCUGAAAUGAAUGUGAAACCUUCCUGUAUUUAAAUUGGAAUAACACAACAGCAACCAUAGUUCAUAGUUGUAACAUCUACCUGUCAAAGUUUGAAUCCCUGACAGCUGUGAAAUCAUCACUCUGUGUUGUGUGGUUUGUAACAAUGUAUUUUGUUAUGGCUAAUGAUAAUAUAACUUGAUUUAUAA
ensembl:lncRNA